rnacentral:tRNA from 1 species
AUUCUUUUAGUAUAAACUAAUAUAAUUAACUUCCAAUUAAUUGAUCUUUUUUAAAGAAAGAAUA